AGGAAUCCCGAGAAGCCCUUGAAGCUACUCGGGACGUCGAUCACGAAAAGCCCUUGAAGCUCAUUCUCGACUCCAAUCUGACGCCUUGCUACCCUGGGGAUGAAUAGAGUAGUCUCGAUCUUGAGGAGUGUCUCAUCUGCUUUCCGGAAGAACAUUGGGUUAUAGAAGCACGAAUAAAGAUGCAGGAGCAAGAACCUCAGCAUGAAGCAGAAAGAAUUCAAAAGAGAAAAGAUACAAGUUUAUCGAGCAGGAUAGUCACUGCAGAGGUGUUAAAUAUUAUGAUUCAUUGGCUAGCUUGCUUUCAGUGCCAUCUUUGAGAUGCCCAGCACAAAGUGAUGGAUUCAUUCCUUCUCAAGGCUCAUUUACUAUGUCAGCAAAUAAACACUCAUCACACAAGAGGCAAAACAGGUUUGCGAUCCUGCAGCUGCAUGCUUAUCCACUUGUUUUUCAAUUAUCUUUUGUCUGGCCACUUUCUUACUGUCUACAUAACAACAUUAUUGUUUAGUCAAUAAAUGUUUGGGCAUUACUACUAAAACGGUAGAGUUAGCACCAAAUAGGGAUAAAUUGAAAGAAGGAUGACUUAGAUGGUCAGGAUAAAUACAACAUAGGCUGAGGGAUACACUAGUAUAAAUGCGGGAUUUGAUAUAUAUAGCGGGAAAGAGGGGUAGAAGUGUACUGAAAAUCACAUGGGAUGAAGUAGUAAGGAGGGAUCUGGCAUCUCAACAUCUCUGAGAAAGUAUGGCCCUAAAAUGAGUGGAAUGGUGGAAAAGGAUUCAUGUAGUUGACCCCAACCAGCUUAGGAUUAAGGCUUAGUUGAGCCGUAUAUUCUGUAUGAACUCAACAUCUUCUCUUAACAAUCUUAUAUAAAGAUAUAGGUACCAGAAGCACAACUUUGGUCUGAGUUAAGUUGUGCUUUAUAUGAUUCUCAUAUAUGAACUCAACAUCUCUCUCUCCCCCUAUGGGACCUAAUCAAUGGUGAACCAUACCUUAUGAUUUCACAAGAAAAGAAUUACUAAAUGAUCCAUUCAGUUAAUCUUUUAAUGCUUAUUUCAGAGUCUACUAAUAAUUUUUAUAUAAUUGAAAAGACAAAAGGGUAGCAAAUGAUAAAAACAAGUAGGGGGGGAGAGAGAGAGAGAAGUGCCCAUCUAUGAGAAUGGAGUAGGAAAAGAAAGCGGGGGAAAAUGGCAUUCUUUAAAUCUCUCUCUCUCUCUCUCAUUAAAUUUCAUGAUUUUUCCCAACCAUUUUCAAAAAGCACAUAGUUUCUCCUUCAAAAAGAACCUCUCCGGUCAAGAAAGGCAUUGUCUAUUCCUACAUGAGGUCAAGCUAUCUGGCUAGUACCUACUAACUUGGAAGUUGCCUUUGCUCAUCUUUCUGCUGGUUGGCCAAAAUCAGAAUCAUUUCCUAGCCUUGAAGGCUCUAGGAGAGGUGGUUGGCUUCUUUUAGGAAGUUUUAAGGCUAGAGUGCAAAUGCAUUGUCAAAAGCAUGUGUAGAAGCUAAAACUGCUUAUCCGAGUUCGACUUUGUAGCUAUCAAGAUAGAAAAAUGGAUUGUUGAACUCUAGCUUAUGCUAGCCUUUCAUUCACUUACAAAACAGAGGAGAAGAGCGAGGCUAUAGACUAGUGUGAAUUGGCUGCUUCUUUCAAUAACGUGCUUAUUCCUUUCUUUUAAGACCACAUCCCCAGCUUCACGCUCGCCAAUUGAGUAUGUUGGCUAGUUUUGAUCACCUCGAAUUCGAUUUCUCAUAUGAGAUAGAGGUAGAUGAUAUAAGGUUCAAUCAUGUUCCAAACUUGAAUUGAGGAGUUGGGUAACGAGAGCGAGUGGUGUCUAG